rnacentral:rRNA from 1 species
GAUGAACGCUGGCGGCGUGCCUAAUACAUGCAAGUCGAGCGAACAGACGAGGAGCUUGCUCCUUUGACGUUAGCGGCGGACGGGUGAGUAACACGUGGGUAACCUACCUAUAAGACUGGGAUAACUUCGGGAAACCGGAGCUAAUACCGGAUAAUAUUUCGAACCGCAUGGUUCGAUAGUGAAAGAUGGCUUUGCUAUCACUUAUAGAUGGACCUGCGCCGUAUUAGCUAGUUGGUAAGGUAACGGCUUACCAAGGCAACGAUACGUAGCCGACCUGAGAGGGUGAUCGGACACACUGGAACUGAGACACGGUCCAGACUCCUACGGGAGGCAGCAGUAGGGAAUCUUCCGCAAUGGGCGAAAGCCUGACGGAGCAACGCCGCGUGAGUGAUGAAGGUCUUCGGAUCGUAAAACUCUGUUAUUAGGGAAGAACAAAAGUGUAAGUAACUGUGCACGUCUUGACGGUACCUAAUCAGAAAGCCACGGCUAACUACGUG